GCAGGAGGUAGCCUAAACACUUAAGGCAAUCAACUUACAAUUGGAAAAUGUUCCAACACGAACCCCCCUGA
rnacentral:tRNA from 1 species